rnacentral:ncRNA from 2 species
UUUAACCACUAGGGGAGUCAUAUAAUUGGCUGAGACGCAGAGUGUUGCGGACCCUUGGAACCUGAUCUGGCUCAUACCAGCGGAGGGAAGUGGCGCUAUCAGUCU